rnacentral:tRNA from 1 species
GGUGCUGUGGUAUAGGGGUCAACACGCCGGCCUGUCACGCCGGAGAUCGCGGGUUCAAGUCCCGUCAGCACCG